UGCGGCAAAACUUAUAUGAGCUGGAUUUCAAUGUUGUUGUCAUGAGGUACAUCUCAUAUGAGCUGGAUUUCAAUGUUGUUGCCAUGAGGGAAACACAAUGGAGGUAUGUGUGCCAGCCAAUCGUACAGGUCAGUUCAAAGAACUUCUGAAGAAAGGCUAUGUGUGUACCAGUCAAUUGUACAGGAUACAUCUCGCAUGGGUGAGAUCAGAAGGUCUAGGUCAUUGUUUGGCAAUGUAUCCGUGGCUUACGCUGAAAACUUCCUCUCAUAAUGAUGGUUGCUGUGUGACCUUAUCAGUGGUUUAUGUUGGAAGCAAGCAUGUUUUUUGAUAACUUCUUCUACGCUGGUGACUGUUGGCUGAAGUUAUUCCAGUGCGAGAACUGAGCUAUACUUCAAGUGUAUCUCUGCUGUAAUCAUUAGCAUCAGACCCAUGCUAUGUACGGAAACUGUGUCAACAUCAUAUUAUUUCCAGGGAGGGUUGCAGAUGUACUGGCAGGUGUAACUCGCCAUUCUGGGAAGAAUUGGUGGGUUGUCUCCGCUCCUGAGACCCAACACUUCCGAGCGAGAAGAAGCUCAUCUGUUCCCGUCACUUGCUGAAAAUCUAACAUAAAACUGUUUGUUCUUUACUGCCACAAUACCAUCUGGAGCAGGCUGUUGCCUGAGUGGUGCUACUUCUUCGAGCUCAAACACGCAAGAGCCAUCUGGGCUUCUGCGAUUUUCUGCCGGCAGGGCGGCGAAACUACAUCCUCCACGGCGGAGGCCUUCUUCGAUUCUGCUGUUGGAGCUUGGCGCCUCCUCUUCAUCAAGUGGUGUGUCCCCGGUGAACUGAAGGUGACCGGCGGCUUCGACCCUUCGUCAGGAA